rnacentral:tmRNA from 1 species
GGGGGUGUCUCUGGCUUCGACGGGGGUUGCGAAAUCGACCGGCGCAUGCCGAGGGGGCAGCUUUCCUCGAUAAUCCAGCCGCAAAAAUACAGACGCCAACGACGACGUCUACGCUCUGGCCGCUUAAGGCCUAGCCCCGAACCCACUUGUGCCUGUGCUUGUGGAUGUAGGGUCAUCAUCACAGGAUCGCUGCUGGCGGCGACUCGUCAACUAGCAGUUAAAUCAAAGCGGGUAUGUCCUUGGGUGUGCUUUGCGCAUCGUGUUACCCCGGGACGAGAUCUAACGGUGCGCUAAGCAUGUAGUGCCGGAGAUGGAGUGCCUUCGGACGCGGGUUCGACUCCCGCCACCUCCACCA